AUGGACAUAGAGGGGGCCGCAAAUCAGGACCAGAUCACACUCCCAUGGGGAGAGGCACACAUCACCAGAAGUCCCAGCGAGUUAGAGUGCAGCCGUGUCCCGACUCCAGUAGCCUCUUCAGCUCGCCAUGGAUCCAACUGCUCCCGCACCGCUGGUGACUCCUGCGCCUGCGCCGACUCCCGCAAGUGCAAAGAGUGCAGAUGCCCCUCCUGCAAGAAAAGUUGCUGUUUCUGCUGCCCUGUGGGCUGUGCCAAGUGUGCCCAGGGCUGCAUCUGCAAAGGGGCGUCAGAUAAGUGCAGCUGCUGUGCCUGAUGCGGGGACACCGCUGUUCCCAGAUGUAAAUAACGCGACAUCUACAAACCUGGAUUUUUUAAAAUAUACGACACUGACCUUCCUUUUUCUAUGAAAUAAUGUGAGUGAUAAUUAAACAGCUUUGACUUGAAAAAAAAAAAAAA